UUCAUCCCAGGGUCAACAGAUAGUUGCUUCCAAGAUUUCUCUAUAUAGCAGGCGCAGAUCAAGGACAUGCUCUUGCAUAGCUCCUGGAAGGAAAAAUAUCUAGCAAAUACAUGCAGAACCAUGACGUGAAGAUAUUAUAUCUUGCAGUCCAUCAGUGGAGUAUUCGUUUGAGAAAUCGAUCGACAAAGUAAUUUGGCGGAGUUUUUGGUUUAAUUAUGGUGUUCCGCGAUAUCUUAUGUCCUAACUCGGUAGCAAAUAAGAUAGAAGAUCGGGUUUGUUCAAUUUAGUAAAUAAACUGUCUGCAUCGGCUGCCUGUCAGACCUGUUUUCUCUUCUCAUGCAGAGAUCCAAAGUGGUGUUUUAAUUCUGACCAGCGAAUCAAUGCAGUGUGUGGUAUGGUGUACUGAAUACUUCUGUGGAAUAUUUACUAUAUAUUCCUCUUAAUGCUUUUCAUGUUGUUUAAAACCAUAUUUCAACCUACUUUUCUGAAAUUAAGCAUCUCUUCUUAUUUUGUUGGAAAGUGGAUAUGUCAUUUUGGAGCAUUACUAGGUUUUCUAUAUCUACUUCUCUGCAUUUCUCACAAGCAAAAUAUUUUUUUAGUUAACUUCGAUCUGUUCUUUCAAUUUUAUGCUCAUGUAAUGAUCCAAUAGAGAUAUGUGCAUCUUGGAAGAAUAAAUUAUGCUCUGUUCAGAUGGAAUUUCUUCUGAUUAUGCAUUCAGAAUUUCAAUUAGGAGGCACCAUAGCAGCACUUAUUCCAAGCAACAAGGAAGAUCGAAAAAUGAUGCACAAGUUAACCUCUUGGUGAGGACAAUUACUUAAUGGACGGAAAAUAGGUUGUUUAUCUAUAUAGAUGGCGCUACUUAAAAGUAUUAUUUG